CUACGUUUGGUGCUAUGUCGGACUAAAAAAUAAUUAUUUAAAUAUUUAAAUUUAAUUAAAAAUUAAAAAUAAAUAAAUAAUUAUACAAGCCAACCCAUAUGAAUUGAAAAAUAGCCCCACCCCCAUCAGCCCUGCCAGCUCUCAUUCUCUCUCUCCUUUUUUUUUUUCCCUAGUAUUUUAUUCUUAUUUUCCUUGUUUUUCUCUCUUUUGUUUACUUUUCUCUAUUUUAUUUAUUCUCCUCUUCUCCAUCGUUUCUUUCUGUUAUGGUUUUUUUUUUUUUCCUUUUUUUUUUUCUUCUUCUCAAUUGUGAAGAGAGAUCCAGUAACCAACUGCCUUCAUCGCCACCAUUUUUUUGUGGGUCUCCACCAAGCAGCGCAUCAAAACCUGUAAUCCAAGAUGAGCAAUUUGACAGGAUUUAGUCCUGUCUCAAUUUGGCAACAACAGCAAGAUGGCUCCAUUUUUUCCAGCACCGCCGUCUUGAUUGUCUGCACUCAAUGGAUGGUGCGUUCAAAUGAAAACGAUCUAAACCGACUCAACACAAAUCAAGCGGCUUCUAGACACCCCCAAAACAUCAUCAGCAAGUAAGGAAGCUACCCAAAUAGGAGCAGUAUCAUAAUUACACAGACCCAUAUUUUUUUCUUCUUUUCUUUUCUUCCUUUUUCCUUCUUUCUUCUCUCGGUUUCUGGUUUCAUUGUUUUCUGCUUUUCAUUUUUUCUUUGGAACUACUACGAAUUGGACUCAGAUGGUGAAGAUAGAUGGUUUUGGGUUCUGCUGGUUGCUGGGGUGCAAAGAGAGAUCGUUCUGAGAAGAAAUCCAGGGUAGAGCGCUGGGCGUUGGGUUUCAUUCGGACUCGCGUGUUCAAAAUAGCGAGCGUACUAUUUUGCGAACCCAAUUUCGGGCUCACUAUAUUAGCUGUGCGAGUCCGGGCUUUUUUUAACUAUUGGACUAUAUAAUCUCAUUUAAGAUAAUCCCCUCCCUUACCAAACAUGGG
rnacentral:lncRNA from 1 species